rnacentral:tRNA from 1 species
GGUUGCGUAGCUCAGUUGGUAGAGCGCCGGUCUUAUAAGCCGUCGAGGUCGCGGGUUCGAGCCCCGCCGCAACCA